CGAAAAGGAGUACUCGUACUCUGUAACCCUUUGUGAACAUACCUUUUGUCAGUUGCUUCGGCGGGAGGCCCCUGGGAGGGGCCCCGGGGCCCGGUCCUGAGCCGGGCUCCCGCCGGAGGAGCGCCAACCAAAAACUCUUUGCUGUACCUCAGUGGCACCUCCGAGUAAAAACAAAUUAAAACAAGUUA
rnacentral:misc_RNA from 1 species